UUUUUUCACACGCUAAACAUACCCACAAAUGAAUUAGAGGAGUAUCAUAAGCUACCGUGGCUACAUUGCAAAUGAUAAAAUUGAAGGGAAACCCAAUUAAGACGAUAAAUGCUAAUUAUACAAAAGAAUAAGUAGAACUUUCUGGUGAAAACCAGUUAGUAGAAAACCUUUCCACAAAAAAAAAACUUUAGGAAGGAAAAAUGAAAACUGCAUUGAAGUGAAUACACACUAUUAAAAGAAUCAGGUUAGCCUACAAUUUCAUCCUUAUAGAGGAGGAUAGAAAUAAGAAGACAAAGAAAAUCCAAGGAAGAGCAAGCCUCCAAUUGUAGCAACUGUCCCUUGCGAGAUCUUAGAUGCUAGCAUGCUUCCUCCCACCACAGCAAGGGAAGUACAGAUAGUGUGUCCUAAUGUAGCCCCCACAGCUACACCAAUUGCAUUUUUGUGGGUUGCCAGCUGCAGAAUUAGACAUUCUAGUUUGAGUAUUAUAUCAGACAUGUACCAUAAAAUGUCAAUUUUGUGUUUGCAUGUUUUCUAGGCUCCCUAAACACAAGCAAGAAGAAGAUAAUCAUAUUUGAUAGUCUACCACAUCAUUUCAAUAUCACCUUCUGGAUUAAAUCAAUCUACAUAAACCAAGUAAACAAAAAAAAUUUUCUUUUGGGAAUCGUAUUAUUGUCCCACAAAAACUUUGGCAUGUUUUCUUAGGUACGAUGAUUCCCAUAUUUCAGAUCAACCAACAAUGUUACACACACCAUUAAGACUCAACAAAGCAGCUCUAUCAUGGGGACCAUAUGCAUUUUCACCCUAAUAGACUCACUAUCAGCCAAGGCUCUAAAAAAAAUAAUAAAUGAAUAAGUAAUAAACAAAUAAACUAAGAGAAAUAAUGCGACAAAUCAGCAAAAUAACAAAAAAUGAGAAUAAAUCACAUAAAGAACUAAGGAAGUAGUCCUAUUGAACCAUGCAGCUAUGUUCUUAACAAAGAUAAAAAACAAGGAGAUGAUGAAAUUGUCAUACAGCAAUUGUUGCAAUCUGGCUGCGAUCUCCCCACUCAGCUAGAAAAGUUAAUAUAAAUGACUGCAGAACAAAACAGAAAUACUUCAGCAAGAUGGUUAUCAAAAAAACAAUCACAUAACACCCAGAAGACUGAGCAUACAAUUAUAUCAAAUGACAGAGAAACUCCAUAUUUCAUGGAACCAAACUGCUGAAAUAAGUCUAGAUGCAUCAAACAUACCUCCAAAAAUAUUGGUGUACAAAAUCUAGAAAAGAAGCGGCGGAGAGUUGUUUUCCCCUGCCCUGCUUCAAGCUUUUCCUCUACCUGAAAACAUAAUAUGCAACUUAGGAAUAAAGAUCAUACCAAACACAAGAAGGGCGACACAUAGUCAAAAGAGGAGAGGGGAGGAGAUUGAAAAAGUUAAUCAUCAACAACGAUCUAAAGAAAAUUUCCCUAAAUGGUACGCAAGCAGAUAGUAGGAGCCUCAACCUACAAUAAUUAGGUAAAUUAACAACAACAAAAACAACAAGGUUAAGCAUUUGAUAAAAGAAAAAAAAGCACAAGAAUGGUUAGGUAUUGAUGCUAAAACAACACUCCUUGUGAAGGAGAAACAUUAGAGAAAAUGGAAACAGUAAUGUUUUACAAAAAUGAAAAUACAGACCAGAUGGUUCAAGAUGACCAGCUCUGCAAGUUCACUGGCUAAUCCAAUAAUCACACCCAUCUAACAGGGAAAGGCUAACUGCCUACCAUAAUCAUUAUGCAGCAAAAACUUUCACGCAACAGAUAAAUAAGAUGAAGCAAGUGAUAAAAUUAGAAGUAGUAAACCCAAAAUCUUCCAUGUCUGAAAAGAAAUCGAAAGCUUGAAAUGGAAGCCAGUGUUUAAACCAAGUUAUAAUACAAUCUCUCUUUUUGUUUAAAAGAUAAUUGCAAUACAGUAAAAUAUGCAGACAUGGAACAAAAAUAGAUAAGUUUUGCACAAUUUGAUAUAUGAAAAUGAAUAAAAAAUUGAGAAUGGGAAAAACAUACUUCUUCCAUUUCUUUUUUCUGGGAUGAUUUUGAAUCUGAUCUCCAAGCAAUGUAAAGUAAUCGCAGCCCAAAAAAUGCAUAAAGGACUGUGGCAGCACUAUUUGUAUGCUUUCUUGAUAUCAAAUUUGGCACAAUCCUACCUAAUCCAGUAGAAAGUACCUAAUUAACGCAUUCAACAACAUUAAGCUUCAUAAAGUUGUCAUUCAGUUAAAAUGCCAUGUGAAUGCAUUGCAUUAUCAAAAACUAAACACACGAGGGACCACUAAAGGAAAAAACAUUAUUCUUUCAAUCAAAGUUGAAACAAAAAUGAAACAGAUGGAUAACUUACUGUCAUAACAAUCAAGGCAGUCAGAGCACCAGACAAGACAAUCGACUUGGGAUGGCGCAUUGCCAUGAGAGCUGCUAUUAUAAAAGUCUCAUCCCCAAUCUCGCUGACGAUAAUCAUGGACAAGCUCGCAAUAAAUGCAUCAAAAAUUCCAAGACCAGAGUCCACUUGAAGUCCAAGACCAACAGAAUUGAUGUCAAGGUCAUUGGCAAGUAUCAUGCCACGGCGGCCCAGAUCAAGCGAUACAGAUGAUUUUUCCUUCUCAUUUUCCUCCACAGAUUCCUGAGCAGCGAUGCAAGGAAGAGCCAGAAGUAGGAAGAAUGAAAGAAGGAGAAGUCUAGGGCAAGACCGAAACCCCAUCAUAAGAAAGAACAGAAGGUGAAGCGGAUGCCUAAGCCUGUGUUUGGCGAGAGAGAAAAGCAGGGGAGAUUAAAGGGGUUAAUUUUUUCGGGAAAGUGGAUCAGAAAGGAAGAAAGGAGAUAAAGGAGAUGGAAAUGACAAUCCAAAUACAGCUUUACAGGGAUUGAAAGGUACAGUUGUGAAGUAAUGAGAUCUAAGAAAAAAAAGAAAUGGAAAGAGAGAGAUCUCUUGCGAAGACUGAAGAUCCCCAGAGGAAAUAAGGAGUCAGAGAGAUUGUGCAAUAUAAUACGAAUUGCGCGUGAAAUGUAUUACCAUAAAAGUUUUCACUUUUGUCCCACUACUCUUUUGGAUAUUACACACUUCCCCUUUCUCCUGCUGAAACCAACUAAUAAUAAUAAUAAAAGA
rnacentral:misc_RNA from 1 species